UCCACAGUAGCUCAGUGGUAGAGCAACCGGCUGUUAACCGGUAGGUCGCUGGUUCGAAUCCGGCCUGUGGAGCCA
rnacentral:tRNA from 2 species